UGGGGAAUAUUGAACAAUGGAGGGAACUCUGAUGCAGCGACGCCGCGUGAGUGAUGAAGGAAUUCGUUUCGUAAAACUCUGUUCUAUGGGAAGAAAAGGACUGUACCAUAGGAGAAAGCUCCGGCUAAAUACGUGCCAGCAGCCGCGGUAAUACGUAUGGAGCGAGCGUUGUCCGGAAUUAUUGGGCGUAAAGGGUGCGCAGGCGGCUUUACAAGUUGGAUGUGAAAUAUUGUGGCUCAACCACAAACGUGCAUCCAAAACUGCAAAGCUUGAGUUAAGGGGAGGUAAGUGGAAUUCCUGGUGUAGCGGUGGAAUGCGUAGAUAUCAGGAGGAAUACCGGUGGCGAAGGCGACUUACUGGACUUAAACUGACGCUCAGGCACGAAAGCGUGGGGAGCAAACAGG
rnacentral:rRNA from 1 species